rnacentral:rRNA from 1 species
AGCGAACGCUGGCGGCAGGCCUAACACAUGCAAGUCGAACGAAGUCUUCGGACUCAGUGGCGGACGGGUGAGUAACACGUGGGAACGUACCUUUUGGUUCGGAACAACUCAGGGAAACUUGAGCUAAUACCGGAUGAGCCCUUAGGGGGAAAGAUUUAUCGCCGAAAGAGCGGCCCGCGUUAGAUUAGCUAGUUGGUGAGGUAAAGGCUCACCAAGGCUACGAUCUAUAGCUGGUCUGAGAGGAUGAUCAGCCACACUGGGACUGAGACACGGCCCAGACUCCUCCGGGAGGCAGCAGUGGGGAAUCUUGCGCAAUGGGCGAAAGCCUGACGCAGCCAUGCCGCGUGAAUGAUGAAGGUCUUAGGAUUGUAAAAUUCUUUUACCAGGGACGAUAAUGACGGUACCUGGAGAAAAAGCCCCGGCUAACUUCGUGCCAGCCGCCGCAGUAAAAC